CCCUACGGGGUGCAGCAGGCGCGAAAACUUUACAAUGCAGGAAACUGUGAUAAGGGAACCCCGAGUGCCCGUAUAUGCGGGCUGUCCAGGUGUUUAAAAAGCAUCUGAAGAAAGGGCCGGGCAAGACCGGUGCCAGCCGCCGCGGUAAUACCGGCGGCUCGAGUGGUGGCCACUAUUAUUGGGCUUAAAGCGUCCGUAGCUGGAUUGAUAAGUCUCCUGGGAAAUCCGCCGGCUUAACCGGUGGGCGUCCGGGAGAUACUGUUAAUCUAGGGACCGGGAGAGGUGAGAGGUACUCCGGGGGUAGGAGUGAAAUCCUGUAAUCCCCGGGGGACCACCUGUGGCGAAGGCGUCUCACCAGAACGGCUCCGACAGUGAGGGACGAAGGCUGGGGGAGCAAACCGGAUUAGAUACCCGGGUAGUCCCAGCCGUAAACGAUGCGCGUUAGGUGUACCGGUGACCACGAGUUACCGGGGUGCCGAAGGGAAACCGUGAAACGUGCCGCCUGGGAAGUACGGUCGCAAGGCUGAAACUUAAAGGAAUUGGCGGGGGAGCACCACAACGGGUGGAGCCUGCGGUUUAAUUGGACUCAACGCCGGAAAUCUCACCGGAUAAGACAGCGGAAUGAUAGCCUGGCUGAAGACCUUGCUUGACCAGCUGAGAGGAGGUGCAUGGCCGUCGUCAGUUCGUACUGUGAAGCAUCCUGUUUAGUCAGGCAACGAGCGAGACCCACGCCAACAGUUGCUAGCAUAUUCUCCGGAAUGAUGAGGACACUGUUGGGACCGCCUCUGCUAAAGAGGANGAAGGAAUGGGCAACGGUAGGUCAGUAUGCCCCGAAUUAUCCGGGCUACACGCGGGCUACAAUGGUCGGGACNAUGAGUAACGACNUCGAAAGGUGUAGUCAAUCUCCUAAGCCCGUCCCNAGUUCGNAUUGUG
rnacentral:rRNA from 1 species